GGAUCGAUAAAGACUAAUUGCUGAACCUGUUUUUGAUAAAAGAUAGGUUUAGUCAGGUUCUCCAAAAACAACCUGGAAUGGGUUCCUCUGUGCAGAUUUGAGGAUGAAAGCAACCACUCCAGAUUCCCUUGCACUCGCUAAGAGGGGCACGGUCAAAGCAAAUCCAGGACCAACACCCGAUACCUGACUGGAAGGAACCGAGAGGAGAGACAACACCUUGCCAGCGAUGACGAGAACAACUAAGGUUGCCAGCCAAUGUGUCCACCGGGACUCCAGCAGCUGUGGAAAGAAGUGUCGGGAGUGCCGAAGCAGCGAGGAGGCCUGAAGCAAGCACUCUGCCCCCGCCUUCCCCAAAGCCCCCACAGCUCCAACUUUUUCUCAGCUUUUCCCCAAAGCGGCCAGCGCGCACAUGCCAUUGCACAGUCUGCCCAAUGGACUGAACCACACCCCAAGAAGAGACAGAGACAGACUGUUUGAGUGGAUCUAAUUCUUCACCAAGGCAGCCAAAAGCCCAACGAGGUGUCGGCAGGCCACCAGCCUGAGGCACCACCGAGCCAUCUAUACGAGCACUAAUCGAACAUGGACUCAUACGAAAUUCAGUUGUGUGUUCAAAAUUAAUUGGUAAUUAACAAUAUUGGUAACUACAUCCAUUGCAAAUGCCGGGAAAAAUAUUUUUGCAAAUGUCUUACAGUCAUAAGUCUAUAUACAUUCAUCUAUUUAUGUUCAAUGAUGUUCAUGAUCAAAGUAUUUGUUAUUCCUUUAGUAAAUCAAAGGGUAGGCCACUAAUUGUGUUCUGAGAGAUGGUUUUACUGCAGGCUGGUAACAGCGAUCGCUCUGAAGGAGCGUCAUAGACGGAAUUUUUGCCUCGUAUAAAAACAUUGAGGUUUUUGCCUCUAUCUGUGGUAGAGAUUAGUGGUCUACAUCAGAAAUUGUUUUGGUCCAGGGUCUUAAGACCCUGGAAGGCGGGUAUGUAGUAGAAUUUCUGACCUUUGACCUAUAUUUCUUGUCUUUUAAGAAUGUCCGCUCAUUUUCAAUUCUCUUCUAUUUUGUGCCAUUGAAUGGACCAGUUGUGGGACAAAGGUGAAUAUGGAGUUAUGCCAACCUGUCUACAGAAUGUUUAGAUUUUCCAAAUAUGACUAGGAGAUAUAAGGUUGUUUUGGAACAGACAAAACCAAAACAAAACAAUCGUGGCGCAUUAGAUAACAAACAAUGACGCACAAGAGACAUAUAAAAAAUGUCAGAAGACCGGAACUCGACAGUGAUUUUGGCUUGUGUGUGUCUUGUUUACUCCGGAGUAACAUGUGGUCUGUCUGCACGGCCAA